rnacentral:rRNA from 1 species
CGCCUGGGGAGUACGGCCGCAAGGUUAAAACUCGAAUGAAUUGACGGGGGCCCGCACAAGCGGUGGAGCAUGUGGUUUAAUUCGACGCAACGCGAAGAACCUUACCUGGCCUUGACAUCCAGAGAGCUUUCCAGAGAUGGAUUGGUGCCUUCGGGAACUCUGAGACAGGUGCUGCAUGGCCGUCGUCAGCUCGUGUCGUGAGAUGUUGGGUUAAGUCCCGUAACGAGCGCAACCCCUAUCCCUGGUUGCUAGCAGGUAAUGCUGAGAACUCCAGGGAGACUGCCGGUGACAAACCGGAGGAAGGUGGGGAUGACGUCAGGUCAUCAUGGCCCUUACGGCCAGGGCUACACACGUGCUACAAUGGCGCGUACAGAGGGCUGCCAACUCGCGAGAGUGAGCCAAUCCCUUAAAACGCGUCGUAGUCCGGAUCGGAGUCUGCAACUCGACUCCGUGAAGUCGGAAUCGCUAGUAAUCGCGAAUCAGAAUGUCGCGGUGAAUACGUUCCCGGGCCUUGUACACACCGCCCGUCACACCAUGGGAGUGGAUUGCACCAGAAGUAGUUAGUCUAACCUUCGGGAGGACGAUUACCACGGUGUGGUUCAUGACUGGGGUGAAGUCGUAACAAGGUAACCGUA